AAGACUAUACUUUCAGGGAUCAUUUCUAUAGUUUCUUACUAGAGAAGUUUCUCUGACUGUGUAGAGCACCGGAAACCACGAGGAGGAGGUGCAGCGUUCUCUCCUGAGCGUGAAGCUGGCCCUGGGUGUUGCUCUGUGCAAAUGCCCUUUGCCAUUGAUGAUCGUAAAAAAUAAUAAUAAUAAUAAUAAUAAUAAUAAUAAUUUAA